AGAUGAUAAUCGAACGUAUGCCCAGGUUAACUGUCACAAUAAAGGCAAAGCCAAGAAACACAAAGGAAAAUCAACUCCUGCAGCAACUGAUGAAGCUGUUUAUUCUGAAGUUGAACCAGGAACAUCUCUUGGUCUGUAAAGACAGCUAUAUGGACAAGGCCAAAUAAAUAUGGUUAACAGCAUUUUAUAUAACCAUUGUGUGCAACUCUGCUAUCCAAAUAUCAGCGAUGCUCAAUGUUUUGUACAGUUAAUUUAAUAGCAGAUGAUAUAAAAUAAUUACAUCAUGUGGAUUUAAUACUCUCUUUUUUAGCAGAAAGUACAAGACUACUGAGGUUUAUUCCCAUUUAGUAUUUAUGCACUGUAGUAUUAUUAUUUUUAUUUUUACAGUUAUUUUGUCACUUAAUUUUAAAAACUUUGAUUGCAGGCUUAUUCAAAAAGCAGCAGGAGGUAUCAGUUUGAAAUGUUUAAAUGACAUUACCCAGGUGGUAGUGCAGCUUUAAAGUCAGCAUAUUUUUCAGUGUUAGAUGAAAAAGCUCCAGGAUGGACGUCAACAAUUACUUUUAUAUACGUAAUGAACUGCUAUCAACUAUUACAUGUAACUCUUGCUGUUAUUAUACUGGAAAGUUUUCCUGUCUAUUUACAAAUGAAUUUACCAGUGCUUUAUGUACUUUAUUUUUGUUA